AUUGAACGCUGGCGGCAGGCCUAACACAUGCAAGUCGGGCGAGCCGCGGGAGUGUGAGUUAUGUAUGGGGCUCCGCCUGAUGGAGGGGGAUAACCACUGGAAAAGGUAGCUAAUCCCGCAUACCCUAAGAUGAACCCAUAUGGGAUUAGCUAGUAGGUGAGGUAACGGCUCACCUAGGCGACGAUCCCUAGCUGGUCUGAGAGGAUGAACAGCCACACUGGGACUGAGACACGGCCCAGACUCCUACGGGAGGCAGCAGUGGGGAAUAUUGCACAAUGGGCGCAAGCCUGAUACAGCCAUGCCGCGUGUAUGAAGAAGGCCUUCGGGUUGUAAAGUACUUUCAGUCGGGAGGCGUUACCGACAGAAGAAGCACCGGCUAACUCCGUGCCAGCAGCCGCGGUAAUUC
rnacentral:rRNA from 1 species